rnacentral:rRNA from 1 species
AAUGACAGUACCUGGAGAAUAAGCCCCGGCUAACUCCGUGCCAGCAGCCGCGGUAAUACGGAGGGGGCUAGCGUUGUUCGGAAUUACUGGGCGUAAAGCGCACGUAGGCGGCUACUCAAGUCAGAGGUGAAAGCCCGGGGCUCAACCCCGGAACUGCCUUUGAAACUAGGUAGCUAGAAUCUUGGAGAGGUCAGUGGAAUUCCGAGUGUAGAGGUGAAAUUCGUAGAUAUUCGGAAGAACACCAGUGGCGAAGGCGACUAACUGGACAAGUAUUGACGCUGAGGUACGAAAGCGUGGGGAGCAAACAGGAUUAGAUACCCUGGUAGUCCACGCCGUAAA